rnacentral:rRNA from 1 species
GACGUAGGGAGCGAGCGUUGUCCGGCAUCAUUGGGCGUAAAGAGCGCGUAGGCGGCUACGCAAGUCGGAUGUGAAAACUCGGGGCUCAACCCCGAGCGUGCAUCCGAUACUGCGUGGCUAGAGGUAGGUGGGGGAGAUCGGAAUUCCUGGUGUAGCGGUGAAAUGCGCAGAUAUCAGGAGGAACACCGGUGGCGAAGGCGGAUCUCGGGGCCGUACCUGACGCUCAGGCGCGAAAGCUAGGGGAGCGAACAGG